CGGCACUCGAGAAGACGGAAGCUCCGAGUACACGACGUUAAAGAUUAACGGAUAGUUUGACGACUAUACCACCCCUUGUUCCCUCUACCUCCAGCUAAAUGUAUCCCUCCCUCCACUUACCACUCUUCCUUUCCUCAUCUAUUAUCUUUCCCUUCCACCCCUCUAUCCCCCCUCCCUUUCUUCACGUACCAUUCUUCCUUUCCUUAUCUAUUAUCCUUCCCUUCCACCCCUCUAUCCCUUCCCUCCACAUACCACCUUUCUCUCCUACCACCUGUCGUUCCUUUUUUGUGUUUUAUUUAAUAAGUUUUAUAGUAUAUGAUGGUCACCUUAUUAAUAAUGUAACAUUUUGUGUGAUUACAAUUACACUACACACACUUAGUCGAAGUGACCAGUUAUUAGUGUUGAUAUUAAUGGGAUAAAUAUUAGAUAAGUUUAUUGGAGUUUGCUAUAAAAUAUGUGACUAUAAUUAUAAAUUGUGAGUGUGAAGAAGGGUUUAUAAGUUGUAUAUAUGUCAAUUAGAGGAACAAAUAAUUUGCUAACCACACCCUAGUCCUUCAAUGGAAAACGCAUCGAAAUGCGCAGCGGCGAAUGCAUUCGGCGGGAGAAUAAUGCGGCGACACGCGUAGAAUACUCGUACGCCACUCUCGGGCACGUACGUUUCCAUUUACUAAAGUUAGGUGGGUUUGUUUGGGUGGCGUGGGACCCAGAGGGCAUCGGCAGGCGGUCGCGUCCGGCGGUUGCCGUGCGAGAAAUUGGGAGGACGGGCUUUCACGUUGCAGAAACUAAGGAACGGCAUCUUCCGGCGGAACCACAGCCCGCGAUUAAAGGAACGCUCGGGUUUGACGCCCACGGACCGAGCGCGCGGCUCCUCCGCCGUAACAAGAGUAGUCGAUUGAAGUCCCCUCUUUUGCCUGGGUGGAUGUGUCUGUGCUAACCGUUUUAGGCAAGUGAAUGUUUGGUACAGCAGAUUUGGGGAUUCAUUGUAGGGUAGACUUGCCAUACAGUGCAGUGUUUUAAUUGGUAUUAUAUUGCGGCGAUCGGCGAGCACGGAGACCGAAGCCUCACUCGACCGUGUCUCGGGAGGCGUGGGGUUUGGUCCGAGGCCACUCGCAGUCAUCGUCGAGGGUAUAGUCCGGAACGCCGUUCGACGUGACGUCUCGUCGAAAUUCCGGAGCGGUCUUCUCGUCGCGGGGCGCGCCGGAGGUCGACGCUACGACGUUCCCGGAGGGGUCGUCGUCGUCGUCGGGUAUUUGACGUGCAUCCGGAGUAGAACGAGGGCACGCGUCGAACCGUCGAAAGUGCGCAAGAAAUGAGAUCGCGUAAAUAACUGCAGAUUAAUUUCGUCGACACUCGUACGUAUAAAAGUGCAAAGUAAAUAAAUAAUACGUAUUUUUUUUAUGGGAAUUAGCCCACCCGGGCACGGGUCACCGACCCACAUCGGGGCGAAAAUGUAAUAAUAAUAAUAAUAAUAAUUGUUGAAGUUACAGUGUUCAUUUUUGGUGGAUAUCAACGAAAUAUGAUGCGAGAGGCUCAGACGACGACACAAACGACGACGCUCUCUCCGGUAUAUUUUCGGGACCGUCCGUAAAAACGAAACCAAAACACGCGUGCGCAUUCAAAGUGGCGCAUUAUUGCACAAGUAAAAUAAAACAUAUUGCCAUAAAUAUGGGGUAACCUAGUUUAUAUGUAACAAUAAUACUGAAGAACCUUAAAGAAAUACAAAAUGGAAAAAAAAAUCAAAAGUGAGGAACAAUAGAUUUAUGUUGUGUUGUCAAUAGUAAGAGAAACAAUCGAGACAGAGUCAGACGAGCGACCCGGGACUCGGUCACAAUUUUAGGGAUGCCACGUAGCAGGAAGAUCUACCACGGACGACACAUUACGCUUCCAAUAUUGUCUGCGGAGGUGGUAUCUCCCCGUUUGGUGGCUGCCUAAGUAUGUAAGAUUUUCCAAUGGAAAGUGUAUGUUUGGCAAAUGUAUCCAGGUCUUUAGAGAAUGUACUCAGAUAUUUGGGUUAGGUGUCAAGGGUUCAUGUAUAAUUUGCAUGCCUAAUUGACUAUGUAUAUUUUUUAACCUUAAUUUUUCAUUUGCAGUCACCCGACGGGAGUCAGAAACGUCAUUUUUGUGCGGACCGGCGACUCGACGGACCCCGGCCGAGGACGCCGCUCGAACCGCGGUUGCGGAGGAGCGCGCCGAUACGAGUCGGAGACGGCUCGUACAGUCGGCGCACGAGAGCGGUCCGGACGAAGACAUUCGGGAACCGAGGACGAAGACGCUCGUCGACUGCGGACGAAGACACCGGUCGACGCGCGAGGAAGAUGCUCCGGAACACGGGAAGAACGCCACACUCCCGAGUGCGGGAAGACACUCGUCAACGCAGAAGGAGACACGCAUCAAUGUCGGGCCGGCGCGAUUGUUUUAAAGACGAUUUAACGUGUAAAAUGAAUGUACGUGUUGUUUGUAACGAUUGUUAUAAUGUUUGUAGUAUUGUUUUUAGAGACCGACUCUGCGAAGACGGAGGAAGUCGAUACAUGUCGAGAAUGAAUUUAUUGAAGAUGUUGCCUGUGAUCACUAGGUGUUUGCACUAAUUUGGGGAGAUGAUUACGAUCGUAGAACGUCACGGAAUGCGGCGCGCACGUCAUUUGUGGCGGGACGCAUCCGUAAAUAACGGCAGC
rnacentral:lncRNA from 1 species